AUGACCAAGAGUCGUCGCGGCAAGCUCUACAUCGACGACGAAGGCUGGGGCCCAGAGGCCGGCUCAAUUGAGUACGGAUACCGGGUCCCCUUCGACGGAAUUCACGUCUUCAUAGGCCGGAUCGGCGAGUCAGGUCCUGAGCCGGACGUCCACACCAACCUCAUCGAAACGGCUCGACGCACGAGGACCGCCCGUGUUCAAUCUGCCGUGAAGCAUGCCUUCGUAGGCUGUGUCCACGGCGGUGAAUACUCUGAAGGAUCGGUGGAGAGCGGUGAGACGGCCGUCUGUUCUGAUACCGCUUCAUCAACGGGUGAGACGGACUCUUUGUACCAACUGCAGGACGGCAUGCUUGGGGGCUGUUCCGAUGGCAGCAGUAUUCCGGACCCUCUUGAGCCACCGAAUUGGGCCGGAGUCUUCAUGGCAGGGACACAACCCGUGCAGAACUCUACAGCAGCGGCGGCAACAACUACCAGGUCGGCCGCAGCCGGGUUAGGAGACCCCGCGCGCCCCCCGGCUCGGAUCUUGAUGGACCUCAUGGAUAAACUGACGACUCUGUUGACUGCCGUGGUAGAGCCGGCGGAUAAAGGCCAGCAUGACACAGAGGUGGCACGCGUACGUGAAGAGAUGGUGCAAGCUAAAGAAAAUCUAGCCAUAGAGGAAGUCGGGAUGGAAGCAAAGUGGGCGGCUUUGGACGUUCGUGCUCAACAGCUUCAAGCGGAGACCUUCCGACUCUCGGUGGAUCUGAACGCGUCAAACGAGGUCAUGAGGAGGAGGCAUCAGAAAACCCAAUCACGUCUGCCUCUGAUGCUCAAUCCUAGGAAUCUUUUUCACACACCCGGAGCCAGCGGAAGUAACCCGCCGGAGGCACCCCGGAUUACAACACCCGGCGCACCGGUCCAGCUGCGCGCCAUGGAUCCACCUCGUCUAAUUACCGCUCCGCCUCAUUACGUCCCAACGCCGCCGGGUCACUUCUCCAACCCUUUGGAAAACCUCAUCGCAGCAUCAUCUCGUCUGGCGGCUCUUCCGAUGGAAGGUGACUCACGGGCGGCAAUUGAAACACGGAGGGUAAGAGAACUUCUUCAAACAGCUCUGGCGUAG
rnacentral:rRNA from 1 species